rnacentral:lncRNA from 1 species
GGCAGCAUUCACAAAAUGUUAGAUGAAUUUAGAUUUCAACACUCUAACAACAUUAAUGCCAACUAGAUAGCGUGGUCGAAGAGCCUGAACAUCCCCUCUCAGUUGCAAAAUGAAGUCGGAUUCAAGCGGGUUAAAAACAAAAGAUAGUGCAAUAAUAGUGAUCUUCUUUUGAUUUGGGUUGGCAGUGUAGUUGGAUUGAAUUGGAAUCCAUGUAUGUAGUGCAUAUUCUUCAUUCUCGCUCAUCCAUGGCAUUUUAAAAGUCGUUGGUACAGACUUCUUGCUUCGAUCACCGAUGCGGAUUGCCUUGUAUCGCCAGUUAUACAAGAAGGUUGGUGGGAUCAAGCCAUUGAUGAGCUUGUCUCGCUGGUGCUUGCUGAUUUAUACACCCCUUUUUCUAUUCGGGUGGUGUUUUAAAGUCCGUCGUUGCGGUCGUGAUGGUUAGCUCAUGUUUGAUUGGCCUUGGGCUCUGGGCUUCAGUGGUCGGGUUUUGGAGUGAUUGGAUGGGAUUUUUUUUUAAGUUUUUGGUGCGCUAGGUCCUGAUUUCGGUUCGGUCUAGCUCCGUUGGCUUUUGUCUCUUCUUCGAGCUGUGUUGUGUUAUUAGCCACUCGUCCGUUUCUCUAGCCUUGCUCUUUUGUUUGGUUUUUGUUUUGCCCUUUGAAUUUUCGUCGGAUUGAUUAAGGCUCGACCCUUAUUUAGUCUCUUUGUGCUAUAAAUAGGUUGUUGGUUUUUUUUCCCCCUUUUUUUUCUUUCAAUCAAUAUAUAAUACGAUUAAGGAUUCCUGCGCUCUCCUUAAUCCGGGGUCCUACGUGGCAUAUCUAAAAAUUCACCAUUCAAAAUCCUUGCAAUUCUAAAGCCUCUAGCUUUAAAAUAUACAUCCACAUGUCAAUAUACAUCCACGUCAUUUAUUUUAUUUAAUUUACAACAAACCCUAAGUCCCUAAUCUUUGAACCUCUUUCACUCACACAGGCGUGGCUCUUUCACUCACACAACCGCCACGCCUUCCUCUGCCUCUGCGCGAAUCCAGUCGCCCACCUCCCCGCCAACAACCGCUAGACGCCGUUCUGCCGCCGCGAUUCAGACGCUGUCUUCCGCUUCGCGAUUCAGACGCCGUCUCCGCCUUCUGCGCGAAUACAGCCGCGCCGUCCUCCGCCCAGCCCGCCCAAAGCUCAGCCCUCCGGUGCCGUCUCUGCGCGAAUCCAGUCGUCUACCUCCCCGCCAACCACCGCCAGUUUCCAUCCUGUCGCCGCGAUUCAGAUGUGGUCCACCGUCCCGUGAUUCAGACGUCGUCUUGGCCUUCUGUGCGAAUCCAGCCGCGCCGUCCUCCGCCCAGCCCAGCCCAAAGCUCAGCCCUCCGAUGUCGUCCUCCUUCCCACCGCGAUUCAUCGAGCCUAGAGUGACUCUCCUCUCUCUUUCCCUUGCCGCGAUUCGCCGCAGCCCAUCGUUUUCCUCUCCCCACCGCGUUCAGUCAUGGUAAGAAUUAUAUUAGGAAAAAAUUGAAUGCGCUUGACUAUUUUAAAUAUAGAAUGAUUGUUUUCAUAGAAUGAAAAGAUUUACUGGAAAGUUUCGAUCUUUUACUUUUUUUUUCUUUCGGAUUAGUGUUCAUAUGGUGGUUGGAUUAAUUUUGUUGAUCUACAAAAAUAGAGCAUCUAAUUAUUAUGGUUUUACUUCAAAAGUUGUGAAUUGGGAUUGAGAUAACUUUGUCUAUCUUUUUAUUGAAUCUUUAUUGUUGUUUUUGGAUGGUUGUGUAUCUGCUUAAAAUUGGGAUUGAGGUAAAUUGGGAUUGAGAUAACUUUGCUGGGAAAAUUAGCAGCUGUGAGUAGUAAUCUUGAUGAAUCUUUGGUCAUUUUGUGGUUGUGGGGUGUGUCAAGAUUGAAUAAUCAGCCAAUUUUUUUAGGGUUUAGGUCUAGGAUUUACCUCUCAUCGAAUUUUUCUGUAUAGAAAUUGAGUUGGACCAAGUUUUGAGCCUAAAUUAACUCAGUUUCUGUGGCCUAGAUAUAUGCCAUUACAGUUUUUGACAUGAUGGAAAGUGUCCUUGUGAAGAAGAUGAAGCUAAAUCCAAGUUUGGGUUUGCGUAUUAUUAAAAGGAAUAGUUAUGUUGGUAUGAUUCAUCAACAAUGGCCAUUCAUUUUGUCCAAGUUUAAUCUUCAAUUUAUGAAUGUAAUUUGUUUUUGUUUUUGCAGCUUUUCCAAUGUUUAUUGCCAUCACAUUCCCUUUCUUUGAUGGUCUUCUUAGUUUUUUUGGAGGAUUCGGUUUCGCCCCUACCACAUACUUCGUUAGCAAUUUGCAAUUCUAUACAUGAAAAUGCAUAUUAAUUUGUUUCACUUCUCUAAAUGAGUAUAUAAUGCUUUCUGCAGCUUCCCUGUAUCUUAUGGCUCACCAUCUGCAAACGGAAGCGUUCAGCUCCUCUUGGUUCGCGAAUUGGGUAUGUAUAUUUAGCCAACAAAUUAACAAUUGAAACUAAAAUAAUCUAGAUUUUAGCUAUAAAUUCAUUAGUGCUUUGUGGCUUCCAUUACUCUGGUUCAAAGUAACCUUAGUUUCAUUAUUUAUUUUUUAAAAAUAUUUAUUAUUUUCCCAAAUGUGUAUUGAGAUCACCGCAAUUUUACUUUUUCUCCGUGUUGCAGAUUGGAAUUUUUUCCCCCAAAUGUAUGUUAGAUUUAAUUGUUGUUUCUUUCUUUUGGAUUUAUUUUCUUGAUUGAUUAUAUAGGUUUAAGCUUUAUUGAAUUGUUAGUGGUGUUAAUCAAUGAUAAUCUUUUGAUUGGCAGAUGCUAGAGUUGUACCCACCAAUCUCCUAUCAGCCCGUGGAGAGAUUUCUUCUGUUAUAUGAAAACCAACGUCUUUUUUUUUUACCAAACUCUAGAUAUGAUCAUCAGGUUAGAGGAUGAGUUAAUAUUGUUGGGAGUAUAAUAGGGUGUGUUUUUAAGUAUAUCUCAGUAAAUUGUAGAUUGUGUUGAUUUGUUCUUCUGCAGCCCGAGAAAACAUCGAGAACAAUCAAAGAACAGCUUGAAGCUAUAGCUCUUGCUUUGGAAGCAGAAGGAUGACAUGAUAAAUUAAUUAUAUGAUGUUCAAUCUCAGAUACAAAAGAUAUGUGCAGAAAUUCUGAUUUGCGACUGUUGGUAUUCGAUGAGUAGCGGGUUAGCGAAUACUCGACGGGUGGCAGUAUUCGCGGGUGACGGGUGUGGGUGGCAGAGAGUACCCAUCGUGGGUCACGGGUUUGGUGGCGGAUACGGCCUUUGCUCGCGGGUACAAGCAUGGAUAGCCACUAUUCGUGUUCGUUGUACCCGAUUGGUCGACGACGUGGAGACGUCAGGUCUUAUGAAGAUGGGGAGGCGACGAUCGUGAGCAAAAAAGAAAGAGGCAGAGAGAGAUAUGAGAACGAUGAGUG